GGGGUUAAAUAUCUACGGCAUUUAAGAAAUAUAAACAAGACCGUGGAGUUCAGAAAAUAUUUUUUUUAAGCUACAAAUUAAAUGGAAACACAGAAAGGGUACCACCAUAGCAUAUAGAAAGCCAAACGCAAGACUACAAAGGGUGUUGAGAGAUGUUUCCAGCGUAGUAGUAAUUUUGGCAUAACUUGCGUAUUCUCACUACCAAAUGAAAAGGGCCUAAAAUAUUCUAGUUUUAUUUCCUCCUCUCUUCCCCACCCACCCC
rnacentral:misc_RNA from 1 species